rnacentral:rRNA from 1 species
CAGCCGCCGCGGGAAUACGAAGGGGGCUAGCGUUGUUCGGAAUUACUGGGCGUAAAGCGCACGUAGGCGGAUCGAUCAGUCAGGGGUGAAAUCCCAGGGCUCAACCCUGGAACUGCCUUUGAUACUGUCGAUCUGGAGUAUGGAAGAGGUGAGUGGAAUUCCGAGUGUAGAGGUGAAAUUCGUAGAUAUUCGGAGGAACACCAGUGGCGAAGGCGGCUCACUGGUCCAUUACUGACGCUGAGGUGCGAAAGCGUGGGGAGCAAACAGGAUUAGAUACCCCAGUAGUCCCUGUCUCUUAUAC